UACGGAGGGUGCAAGCGUUGCUCGGAAUUAUUGGGCGUAAAGGGUAGGUAGGUGGUCUCAUUUGUCUGAGGUGAAAGCCUUGAGCUUAACUCAAGAAGUGCCUCGGAAACGGUGAGACUGGAGUCCUGGAGAGGGUCGUGGAAUUCCCGGUGUAGCGGUGAAAUGCGUAGAGAUCGGGAGGAACACCAGAGGCGAAGGCGGUUCUCUGGGCCUUACCUGACGCUGAGGAGCGAAAGCGUGGGGAGCGAACAGG
rnacentral:rRNA from 1 species